rnacentral:rRNA from 1 species
AUACGGAGGGUGCAAGCGUUAUACGGAAUCAUUGGGUUUAAAGGGUCCGCAGGCGGAUUAAUAAGUCAGUGGUGAAAUCCUCUCGCUCAACGAGAGAACUGCCAUUGAAACUGUUAGUCUUGAAUUCGGUCGAAGUAGGCGGAAUGUGUCAUGUAGCGGUGAAAUGCAUAGAUAUGACACAGAACACCGAUAGCGAAGGCAGCUUACUAGACCUGGAUUGACGCUCAUGGACGAAAGCGUGGGGAGCGAACAGGAUUAGAAACCCCAGUAGUCC